CUCUCGGCUGCGAGACUUCUAUGGGGAAUCUGGUGAGGGGUUGGAUGACACCCUGGCGGAUUUCUGGGCACAGCUCCUGGAGAGAGUGUUCCCGCUGCUGCACCCACAGUACAGCUUCCCCCCUGACUACCUGCUCUGCCUCUCACGCUUGGCCUCAUCUACCGAUGGCUCUCUGCAGCCCUUCGGGGACUCACCCCGCCGCCUCCGCCUGCAGAUAACCCGGACCCUGGUGGCUGCCCGAGCCUUUGUGCAGGGCCUGGAGACUGGAAGAAGUGUGGUCAGCGAAGCACUUAAGGUGCCGGUGUCUGAAAGCUGCAGCCAGGCUCUGAUGCGUCUCAUCGGCUGUCCCCUGUGCCGGGGGGUCCCCUCACUUAUGCCCUGCCAGGGCUUCUGCCUCAACGUGGUUCGUGGCUGUCUCAGCAGCAGGGGACUGGAGCCUGACUGGGGCAACUAUCUGGAUGGUCUCCUGAUCCUGGCUGAUAAGCUCCAGGGCCCCUUUUCCUUUGAGCUGGCGGCUGAGUCCAUUGGGGUGAAGAUCUCGGAGGGUUUGAUGUACCUGCAGGAAAACAGUGCGAAGGUGUCCGCCCAGGGUGACUGUGUGAGGUCUCUUCCCCGUGCCGCAGGUGUUUCAGGAGUGCGGCCCCCCCCCCCGGUGCCUGCCCGCAACCGUCGAGCCCCGCCGCCCCGGGAAGAGGCGGGCCGGCUGUGGUCGAUGGUGACCGAGGAGGAGCGGCCCCCGACGGCCGCGGGCACCAACCUGCACCGGCUGGUGUGGGAGCUCCGCGAGCGUCUGGCCC
rnacentral:sRNA from 1 species